CAUUCCUUCCGCUAUCUUGUCUGGGUUGUCCUUCUCAAUGUCAAAGUCAAACUGGAUGGCCUCGUUUUCCUUGUGCUUGUCUUUCCUCUUCUUGGCAUCAAUGACACGUAACCUGGUGGGAGAAUUAUGAGGGUCACUAGAGUGUUUAAGGUUAGGUUAGCUUAGGGGAGGUUAGGUUAGGUUAGCUUAGUUUAGGGGAGGUUAGGUUAGGCUAGCUUAGGGGAGGUUAGGUUAGGUUAGGUUAGGUUAGCUUAGGGGAGGUUAGUUUAGGUUAGGUUAGCUUAGGGGAGGUUAGGUUAGGUUAGCUUAGGGGAGGUUAGGUUAGGUUAGCUUAGGGGAGGUUAGGUUAGGUUAGGUUAGCUUAGGGGAGGUUAGGUUAGGUUAGCUUAGGGGAGGUUAGGUUAGGUUAGCUUAGGGGAGGUUAGGUUAGGUUAGCUUAGGGGAGGUUAGGUUAGGUUAGCUUAGGGGAGGUUAGGUUAGGUUAGCUUAGGGGAGGUUAGGUUAGGUUAGCUUAGGGGAGGUUAGGUUAGGUUAGGUUAGCUUAGGGGAGGUUAGGUUAGGUUAGGUUAGCUUAGGGGAGGUUAGGUUAGGUUAGGUUAGGUUAGGGGAGGGGUGACUUUUCUCUCUCCCUCCUUCUCUCUGACUCUCCAUUCUUCCUCUCUCCCUCUUUCUCUAUUCUUUAUCUCUCCCUCUUUCUCUCCCUUCUUUUUUGUCUCCUUUGCUAAAAUGAAUGAAAGGAAAACAAAAAAGAAAGAACAGAAAAGAACAAAAAAAAGGCAAAACAAAGAGAAGAAAAAACAAAACAAAUAUAAAAAGAAAAACAAUGACUCGUUAAGACACCUUUGGGAGGGAACACCUGUAU